UCCCUGGUGGCUCAGAUGGUAAAGCGUCUGCCUGAAGUGCGGGAGACCCAGGUUCGAUCCCUGGGUUGGGAA
rfam:TPA: Bos taurus chromosome 4, whole genome shotgun sequence.